GUGGAGCAUUAACAUGCUUCCAGAAGUCAAAACUAUAUAAAGGAUAUACUCCGAGAAGUAUUCCUCCCUUCUGUACCCACUCCAUCUUGUUCCUCCUAGCCAGCUCUUGAAGAGUCGGAAAUUCACUCUAAACAGGAGAAGCAGCAAUGAGAACUUCAAGAAGAGAUAUAAGCUCAUCCAAGAUCAACUGCAGAGGAGGACGAGGGAAAUUUUAUAUGGGAACAAUUAUCUGAAAAAUACAAUAGAAGGCAACUGGAAAAGAGGCAAGGAUUCUAACUACAUACUGCAGAAAAAAUAUUCACACCUGUCAAAUUCCAACAGCUGGCAUUGUUGUUGUUCUACGAAUAAGCACACACAGAAUCCUCGUGAAUAGUUCUUUGUCUCUUGCUCUAGUAAAUCAUAACCUGCUUGUAGCUUUUUUAUGAACCUUCAGGAAUAACUCUUCAGAGGAUGCUAAUACAUCAUUAAGAUUAAAUUGAACCUCAAAGGUGGGUUUUUUUUCCAAAAUGAUAAAGGCCACCAACACUGCAAGGUUUGCCGUCAUUCCCUUGAUCUGGUAAGUGACACCGUCUUCAGGGUUUGUGUACUCAAAGAUAUGAUUAAUAAAACGGUGACCAAGACGUGUGACGUAAUGCUGGUCAUGGACCUGUGGAUGCAGGAAAUAGGCCAGAGGCACCAGGAAUACAUCCUUAACUUCAGCAGGAUUCGGCUGGGCCUGGAAGUUGUGGUCUAUUAAACCCACAAAUGGAGUUAUCAAUGUAUCUGUCUAAAAGCAGAAAACAAAACAGACAAAUUAAGAAGUGAAGUGAUACUGCUUCAAAUCCUAAAAUCAUGCCACUUCUAGGUGAGCUAAGAAAAUACACCGAACCUGGGAGAAGGGGAAGAAAGCUUAUUCCGGAAACAAAUUUAUGUUCCCCCUAAAAUGGGAGUCAUCCUGCUCUACCUGAGGUGACAUCUAUGAGAUGACUCUGAAAAUGAUUUCUUGUAUGAACAUAAAGUAGUACAAUCUUUUGGAAUGGCAAUUUGGCAGUAUCAUAAAAAUGUGUUCGCUUUGACCUGGGAAUUGCAUUUGUGUAUCUGUAUGAUAAAUUCCUACCAGUAAGAAAAGACACAAGUAUAAACCUGAAGAAUUAGUUUCAACAACAGCCCCAAAUUCUAAAGUUAUCACUCUUCACUUUAUAGGCAUUUAGGUUAUAUAAAUUAGGGUUAUAUCCAUAAAAGAGGAUACUAUGUAGCCUUUAAAAACAAUGGGAUAGACAUCUUUCCUUCUCAGUAAAGAAAAAAAUGUGCUAUACUUAUGAACAGAAAAGUAAAGUGAUAUAAUACUAGUUAUGACAUAUUCCCAUUUAUGGAAAAAUUUCAUAGUACAUACACAUAUAUAUAUAAUUAUGUGUCUUAUAUAUAACUAUAUGUGAACUACUUUAUAUAACACACAUGUAUAUAUUACAUGGGAGAGGGAUUUCUAUUUACAACCACAACUGCUUGCAAAUGAACAUGAGUGGCCGGGUGUGGUGGCUCACGCCUGUAAUCCCAGCACUUUGGGAGGCUGAGGUGGGCGGACCACCUGAGGUCAGGAGUUUGAGACCAGCCUAGCCAACAUGAUGAAAUCCCGUCUCUACUAAAAAUACACAAAUUAGCCGGGUGUGGUGGUGCGUGCCUGUAAUCCCAGCUACUCAGGAGGCUGAGGCAGGAGAAUUGCUUGAACUUGGGAGGCGGAGAUAGAUUGCAGUGAGCCGAGAUCAUGCCACUGCACUCCAGCCUGGGUGACAGAGAGAGGCCCAGUCUCAAAAAUAAAAAUAAAUAUAUAAAAGUAAAAAAGCAAAUGAACAUGAGUGUUGUCAAAUGAAAGACUGUUUUGUUAUACUGGAAACCCUGAGAGGGAGGCCUGGGGCUGAGUGAGGAUGUGGGAACUGGUAAGAGCUGCCUGCCUUUGUAUUAGAAAGUGAGAAGAACUGGAAUUCCUGGAGCAUCCCAAGAGGAAGUGGGUGGAAAAAGCCAGAGAGGUAGACACAUGGUGAGGCUGGGACCUAUCCGGCCUGCAGAAUGUUCUGAGGGACAGCCAAAGACAGGAAACCAAAUUUAGGAACAGAGACAACUCAGACCAUUAACCAAAAUAAUAGUGAAAGUCAACAUUUGGACCAGGAGGAGACAAGAGGAACAUAGACUUCGUAUGUCCUUGGGGCAGGAAAUUUGGGGUCAUUAAGUUACCCGAGGGCAGAGGCAACAUUCUACCAGCACGUAACACCACACCUGGCAUUGGGGAAAUGCUUAGUCUCUGAAUAUGGAGUUUUCCAGGUGGACUCUGAGAUAAGGACUCAGAUGCAAGUGAUUUUUUAAGAAAGUGCUCCCAGGGGAAACAGUUAAGGGGAAGAGGGGAGCAAUACUCAUAAGGGAAGAAGGCUGGCAAGGGCACCAUGGGGUGUUCUGGAGGGUAAAUUAAUAUGCAGUUUGUCCCACAUGGAGACAAGGGAGCUGGGAUUUCAUGCUCCCCAGCCCCAGUCAGUCACUGGUUAAGGACUACCUUGCCAGAGGUGAAUUCACAGGCACUCCCAGCUCUCUGUGCAGGACACAUGGCAAGGUGGCUCCAGUAUCAAGGGUACCAGUAUUCAGAAGAAAGCUGCCAAGUGUUGUCAGAGGCGUUUGAACCAGAGCAACUCCAUCUUGAAUAGGGGCUGGGUAAGAUAAGGCUUGGAGCUACUGGGCUGCAUUCCCAGGAGGUUAGGGCAUGCUUAGUCACCAGAUGAGACUGAGAUACAAGUCAUAAAGACCUUACAGUAAAGAAGGCCAUCAAAACGCACCAAAACCAAGAUGGCAAUGAAAGUAACCUCUGGUCAUCCUCACUGCUCAUUAUACGAUAAUUAGAAAGCAUUAGAAUGUUAAAAGAUACUCCCACUAGUGCCAUGACAGAUUACAAAUGCCACGGCAAUGUCAGGAAGUUACCCUACAUGGUCUAAAAAUGGGAGGAACUCUCACCUCUGGGAAUUGCCCAUCCCUUUCCUGGAAAACUCAUGAAUAACCCACCCCUUGUUUAGCAUAUGAUCAAGAAAUAACCAUAAAAAUGGCCAACCAGCAGCACAUGCUGUUGCUCUGUUAUGGAAUAGCCAUUCUUUUUUUUCUUUACUUCUCUAAUAAACUUGCUUUCACUUUAUGGACUCACCCUGUGAGAUCCUAGAACCCUCUCUUAGGGUCUGGAUCAGGCCCCCUAUCUGGUAACAGUGAGUUAUCAGAAGCCCUGGGGUUGUAAGAGGAAUAUGAAGGGGCCUGGACAGAGCCCCAACAAUGUAUGCUCAGUAAAUAUUCGUGGUUGCUGCUACCAUUGGUGACCACAACUUACGGGCACCUAGUCUAGUUCCCAGCACCCUCUGAUUCCUUACAACAAUCUGAUCGCGAAGAAGCCUUAACAACUACAAUUAGAGACGUGAAGAAACUUGCCCAAGGGCAUAUUCUGCUGAUACUUGGCAGAAACUGGAUUCGACCACAGAUGUGUUGCUCAUACUCCUGGGUAUAUUUCAGAGACCUUUGCAAAAAGUAGUACAUAAAUGUCUGACAAAAGGGAAAACUGGGGUGGGGGUUGUGGUGUCACAGCCUGCCUGGAAGGCUUAUGUAGCGGGUACAUACAUAGGUGCAUACAUACAUAGGUAGCUACUCUGGAGGCUGAGGCAGGAGAAUUGCUUGAACUUGGGAGGUGGAGGUUGCAGUGAGCUGAGAUCACUGGGACUCGAGAUCACUUGAGAAAAGCCAAUAGCACCCUUCCACUCCCAGCUAUGAUCUCCAGACAUUACCAAAUUCCCCAGGGUUGAAAAAUCACUCCAGGUUAAGAGCCACGUAGAUUAGAUUAUGCUUAUAAUUUUCAAUAAAUGGCAUUUUUGUGAUACAUUUUAAAAAUUAGCAGGGGCCAAAAAACAAAGCAACCCUCCCUUGCACUUCCAAACAAAGCAGACUUUUUAAAGCCUUUGUUUAAUCUCUCAAUCACGCCAUUUUAGAAAUCUCCUGUUCCAGGAGUAUCUGGCCCCCAGGAAUCUCCCAGAGACACUUUCCUGUUAAUGCUCCUGAAUUCUAUCCACCCACAUGCAGAACUCAGUAGCACCUGGGGACCUUGGGAACAGAGUUAGUCUCAUUUUGGAAACUUUUAAUCAGUAUAGCUAAAUUAGUUAAUUGAUUUCUAAAGUAAAUCCUCCAAAUGCUGGUGGAUUUGCGGAAAUCAACUGUAAAGAGUUCCCAUUAGAAAACCAAAUGGAAAAGUAAUUGACACAUUUCGUGUGUAAUCCCAUGUCUCCAUCUCGCUUUCAUACACACACACUUAGAAAACAUUUAUUGAGUGGCCACUAGCUUUUUGCAAACAAAACCACCCUUGGGUACUGACCUUUCUAUUUUUAAAAAGGACCCAAUUAAGACAGACAUUGUCUCAGCAUCACUGAUCUUCAAAACACUGCCCCACCAAGACUUCAGUCAAGUGGAACAUAAAGGAUCAUCUAACCCACUGGUUUUCUAAGUGUUAGGCAACAGUGGGACU
rnacentral:lncRNA from 1 species